rnacentral:rRNA from 1 species
CCUGAGUACGACGGAGCACGUGAAAUUCCGUCGGAAUCUGGGAGGACCAUCUCCUAAGGCUAAAUACUCUCUAGUGACCGAUAGUGAACCAGUACCGGGAGGGAAAGGUGAAAAGCACCCCGGAAGGAGAGUGAAAUAGAACCUGAAACCGUGUGCUUACAAGUAGUCAGAGCCCGUUAAUGGGUGAUGGCGUGCCUUUUGUAGAAUGAACCGGCGAGUUACGAU